CUCAAACUCCUGACGUCAGCUGAUUCACCUGCCUUGGCCUCCCGAAGUGCUGGGAUUACAGGCAUGAGCGCCCAGCAGCUCCCGGCCAAUUCUCAUACUUUUAUGUUCGUCAGAAUCACCUGGCGGAGUGACUGAUCACACACAGGUUGCUAGCCCCAUCCCGAGGGUUUCUAUUUCAGCAGGUCUGGGGUGGGGUCUGACAGAGGGUGCUCCUCACUGCUCCCAGAUGCCACUCAGGCUGCUGGUCCUGGGACCACACUUUGUGGUUUGGAUUUUUGUCACCUGCUCAGUUAGUGAGUUAACAACUUUAUGCGUAAUGAUUCUUUUAUAUUAAGAUCUGCUCAGGUAGCUGGUGGAGUUUAUGCCUCCAGACUAACAGAGUGAUCAGGGCCUUAGGUUGUCUGGGCCAGUCUCUGUCUUUAAUUUGCAUUCUGGAAUGGACACCUAAACAAAAGGUCUUUAGCUGCUUUCCCCAGUGAAUGCUCCCAUUAUCGCAGCCCUUGGAAACGCUCCCGUCCCUCCCCCCACCCCAGCCUGCAAGGAGCACUGGGUGUGAUGUCAGGGCUGUCGCCCACAGCCAGGAAAACUGCCUUCCCACCCCUACCCCAGGUCCUGGAAUUCAGCUCAGGGCCCCUGGACUGCUUCAAAAGACAGUUCUUGGUCUGAGGAGAGGGCGGUCAGGGCAUGAAGCUGCAGUCGCCGCUGCUGGUUCUGCAAAAUCUAAGCACUGGGCUGCAGCCAUGUCCUACUGCCGGCAGGAAGGGAAGGAUCCAAUCAUAUUUGUGAUGAAAAAAGACCUUGCAGCUCCAAGCAACGCAGCUGAUGACCCCAGUGAUCCCUAUGAGGGGAGCACGGAUUGAGGCUGCUAAAUGGAGACAUUAACUGGAACUGCCUGUGCCUUGGGGGAACAGCCAGCGGCCCCUGUGGGAAACAAUUCAAACUGGACUUUUCCUGCUCCCAUUAUAGUAUGGAGAAUGUCAAGGGGUCAGGCUGUGUAGACCAGUUGUGGGGCCAUGCAGGAAUGCAUGCAGAAAUACCCAGAUCUUUGUCCCCAAGAAGGUGAGGAAGAGGUAGAGGAAAAGCCCUCAGAACAUGUAGAAGCAGCAGCUCCCACUGAGGCCACUGCAACCAAAGAGGAGGGGUCAAGUUAAUGAAGGCCAUAGGACUCAGUCCUUCCACCCCUUCAGAGUGACACGGACCUUUCGCAAAAUGCCAUUUAGUCACCCCAACAAAGUGUUUUUUCCUCUGUUGUCCUGUAAACUGUAACGUACAAAAUAAUGUAUUUUGAUGAUCAGGGGGUUUGGCCUCUUGACAUAUACACUGAAAAAAAUGGGGGUUGUUUAUAUGUGUCCUGUGUAAACCUGUCGGCAAAUGUAGCCACCACUUUUGAAUUCUCCUAGAUGGCCCUUAAUUUUGCCACUUUGAAAUAAUGUGCUACUCAAUCUCAGCAACCAAAAACCAUUAUCCGGGAAUGUUUCUUAUGAGUGAGCAGAUUUAUUCUGAUUCAUUGUAUGUCUAAAAUGUUGGGAUGGGGCUGGUUAGGGUGGCUCAUGCCUGUAAUCCCAGCACUUUAGGAGGCCAAGGCAGGAGGAUCACUUGAGACCAAGAGUUCAAAUCUAGCCUGGACAACAUAGUGAGACCCCAUCCCUAUAAAAAAUUAAAAAUUAGCCAUGUGUGGUGGUAUGCACCUCUAGUUCUAGCUGCUCAGGAGGCUGAGGUGGGAGAAUCGCUUGAGCCUAGGAGGUUGAGGCUGUAGUAAGCUGAUUGUGCCAUGACACUCCAGCCUGGGCAACAAAGCAAGACUCUGUCUCAAAAAUUAUUCUCUACUAGAAGAGGCCAAAUGGUCAGAUGCAAAUUUCUCCAAACCCAUCCUGACCUUGAGUAUGUAUAUGGGUUACUAUACUUCAUUCCUGACAUAUUUUGAUUUCCAUGUUGGCAUUGAGCUCCCGGUUUUCUAUUUGGAUGGUGAAAAUUUGGACCCUGUCAUUCACAGUCCCUUCCUAAGUGUAGGGAAAGGCUGGUUUUUGCUAUCCCUUGUUAUUCUGAAAGCUCUGGUUUGGGGUCCGUGUUCAUGCUGGCUCUCAGUUUGAUUAGAUGCAAUGUUCUUGAGAGGUGGGGAUCUAAUUACCAGAGAGGAGAGGAAACUGUGAAUUAAGUACUCAAUUAUGGCUGGGCGCGGUGGCUCACACCUGUAAUCCCAGCCCUUUGGGAGGCCGAGACAGAAUCACUUGAGGCCGGGAGUUCAAGACUCGCCUGGGCAACAAAGACCCCAUUACAAUGAUGAUGAAUUUAAAGAAGAAAAUGUACUCAAUUAAAAGGAAACAUGAUUUCUACCUGGAAAAAACCCAAAAGCAGUUUUGUGGGGUUUAUUUGGUAAAGAUGGCGUAUCGCUGUGUGGCCCAGGCUGGCCUCAAACUCUUGGGCUCAAGUGACCCUUGCACCUCAGCCUCUGGAGUAGCUGGGACUACAGGAAUAUGCCACUGCACCCGGCUGACAGUUCUUUGGAGGCAAGUAACUUCACUUGUUCUGGGGUGGCACAGAGAUAACUGUGCUGUUCAGCAUUUCAUUUUGGAGUUAUAUUCAGAAACCUUGUGGUCAUGUGGCAUCAUUUUCAGGUGCACAUGGUACAGGUGCACAAAUUGGCACCCAGGUUCACCUUUUUUUGUUUUUGAGACAGAGUCUCCCUCUGUCAUCUAGGCUAGAGUGCAAUGGUACGAUCUCAGCUUA